rnacentral:rRNA from 1 species
CCUACGGGAGGCAGCAGUGAGGAAUAUUGGUCAAUGGACGAGAGUCUGAACCAGCCAUGUAGCGUGAAGGAUGACUGCCCUAUGGGUUGUAAACUUCUUUUAUAAGGGAAUAAAACGAGGCACGUGUGCCUUUUUGCAUGUACUUUAUGAAUAAGGAUCGGCUAACUCCGUGCCAGCAGCCGCGGUAAUACGGAGGAUCCGAGCGUUAUCCGGAUUUAUUGGGUUUAAAGGGAGCGUAGAUGGGUUGUUAAGUCAGUUGUGAAAGUUUGGGGCUCAACCGUAAAAUUGCAAUUGAUACUGGCAGGCUUGAGAACAGUUGAGGUAGGCGGAAUGCGUGGUGUAGCGGUGAAAUGCUUAGAGAUCACGAAGAACCCCGAUUGCGAAGGCAGCUUACUAAACUAUGACUGACAUUGAUGCUCGAAAGUGUGGGUAGCAAACAGGAUUAGAUACCCCAGUAGUC